AAGGAUUCUAUACUCGUACAAUAUUUAUAAUUAACAAAAACAAUAAUUUAGGACAUAUUUGGUUCUUCCUAAAAGUAUAAAUAGUAUAAUUAUAUUUAAUUGCAAACAGCAAAUGAAAAAAGACAACUUUUAGUCUUUAGUAAACAAGAUUAAAUUUAUCAAACUGAUAUAAUGAUAUAUGUUAAAUAAAGUAGUAUAUGUGCAAGUAUGAUAACAUAGAGACAAAGAAAAUAACAAACAAAGGAAAAGAGAGAUAGAAAGAAAGAGAGAAAGAGAAAGCAAACUUCUAUUUAUAUUCUAAAAAAAUAAAUCACAUUUAUCGCUGUAAUAACUUUAUUCAAACAAAUAUAGGUGGCGUUUAUGUUGGCAAUCUGUGGCGACCUCGUUGCGAAUGUUACUCUUCCUCCGGCAAGACACAUAACUAAUACGUCUCGGCGUCACUAAACACACGUAAAAAACCGACCAAAAUGAAAGACACAAAAAGGCCGAAAACAAGAGAUGACGAAGACGUCGGGAACAAAAAAGAAAUUAUUCAUUCAUUCAUUCUUUGAUUUUUCUCAAGACCAUAGCCAUAGCUUUGAAAAUGACAGUUCUAUUAAACUGCUGUGUACCUGACAAAGUUAAAUAAAUGUAUCACAAUUA